rnacentral:lncRNA from 1 species
AGUCCCCCAAGGGAUUUUAAUUUGAAUUUUGAUUGUUCAUACAUCAUUGUUUUGAAAAUUCAAUAUAUUUAAUUUAUCUUAUUCAUUUUACUAUUUUUUAUUUGACUUGGACUUGAUGAAUCAAUAGUAGUAGUAAUUGUUAUACACAUAUACUAUGAUCUGGGUUGAUUACUUGAAUCUGAGUUUAACCAAAAGGCUAUAAUUUCUAUACAGUAAACCAAUAUUCAUACAUAUUUGGCACGUAAACCUAUUAGAUGUGCAACCAAAGGAAAAAAAAUAUAUAGAUAGAAGAAAAUAGAAAUAAUCUACAAUUUGAAGAAAGUAAAUAAAAAUGAAAGAAUAAUGAUAAUUUAUUUAGCUUUAAGCACAGGAUUCAACUGAAGAGGCCUAGGUGGAGCCAUUGUUCUUCUCUUCCAAAGAUUAAUUUCAUUCCUUGGCUUAAACUUGAAAUCAGAUGUACCAGUAGUAUUUCCACCAACACCUAAAAUAGGUGCAGAAAAUGGAAUCAAAAUUUCAUCAUCCUCUCCAUCAGUAAAACAUUCCCUUUGAUCAAUUUCUUCAGGCUCAAUCACUGCCUUCCAAUCAAAUUUAGAAAAAGCCUCACGUCCACUUGCAAAUCUCCUCAUAUCACCCAUAGGCGGUGCUUUGUUGUUCCCUUCAUCAACAAAUCCAGAACCAUCUGAUUUCCUUUCCGCAAAUUUUGCUUUAGACCUCUGCGAAAAAAUCCUCUGAAACUUGGAUCUCUUUACCUCAGUAUCCACCUUUGGAGUGAAGAGAUCUUUGUUGGGUUUUGGAAUAUUUUUCUUCUUGUGAUGCUUGAUCUGUCCCAUACAAGAAAUCUUUGGUGAAGUGGGUUCUUGAGUUUCAUUGCCACCACCAUCUUUAGGUUUUCUUCUAGCUUCAUAUGGAAUCAUAGUAACCAUAGGUCCAGAAAAACCCUUACCAACAGCAUGAGUUUUUGCACCCCACUUUGUAUUACUAUUUUCUGAUCUAAAUUUGUGAUCUCUUCCUGGACUGAAAGGAGCGUUUUGAAAUGUUAUUGUGAUUGCUUUCAUGAACUUGUUCCUUAGCUUACUUUGUUUAUCUUUCUCCAUGAUGAUGAUGAUGAUGAUUAAAUUGUUUGUUGGAUUUGAUUUGAGUCACAAAGGUAGAUACUAUAUAUAGAUAGAUAGAUAGCUUUAUGUGUUUGCGUUGAAACUUAUAACAUAUGGUUUUGAUGUGUGUAUGUAUGUAUACUACUGGUAUAGUG